rnacentral:piRNA from 2 species
UAGGCACACAUACAAGGCAGCAAGAGGAA